CUCUCUCUCUCCCUUUGGUCCUCGCUUCUGCACUGCUCCUUCACUCAUUCGCUGCUGAUUCACUCACUCCCUCGCUUGCCUCUCCUCUGCGAGUCGCCCUGCCUUGCUGCGUUCUGCCUGCCUUCCCUCUGCCCGCCUGCCUGCCUGAGAAUGGUCCAGCCGGUGCCUAAGGGUCUGCUGUCGCGGCCUGUCUGAAUGCGUGCAUAAACACACAGAGCCAGUCGUCACACGGAAGCUCACGCACACAGAGCUGGAGAGCAAUGUGAGAGAGGAAGUGCCUUCCCUGAUGUCUGCUGCAGCUUUGACCUGCUUCUACAGCUGAAGCUCCAUCCCCCUCUCCCCUUGCUCGCUCGCUUGCUGCCACAGUUCUAAGAGUAAAAGGACAACGACCACACCUUUCCCCAGUUUCUCCACCAUCAGCAUCCACUCCAGCAUCAGCCCUCCCCACCAGACGGCCCUGCUGCUCACUACCAGCUGACCAGCCUUACCACUGCACCACCAGGCCCCACAAACAGCAUUUCACCCACCUUGCCUUUCACCAUCGCCUUCAACCCCUUGAGGCCUCCGCUCAGAUCUCAGUGUCCUUAAUUUUCCUGAAGCAGACUUUAUAGACUGUCACCUUUGUUGCCUGCUUCACUGCACCCAACCAGAGGGCUCUCAGUUUGGACGUUGCAUAAGAAAGUAAGCAAUAAACUAAAAGAGUGAAGAGGGACACAUUUGUAGGCUCCUGGAUAUCAGAUCUUUGCCGGGUGUUACGUGCAUCAGGAAAAUGACCCAUUAACGUCCUCAGCAAACACUGUCCUGCAGCAUUUCACCAAUCGCAUUUUUCUGAAUGUUUUAUUUCAAAUAAUCACAAGCAGCAAAGAUAUAAAGGAAACAUUUUUUUUUUU